GAUGAACGCUGGCGGCGUGCCUAAUACAUGCAAGUCGAGCGAACAGACGAGGAGCUUGCUCCUCUGACGUUAGCGGCCGACGGGUGAGUAACACGUGGAUAACAUACCUAUAAGACUGGGAUAACUUCGCGAAACCGUAGCUAAUACCGGAUAAUAUAUUGAACCGCAUGGUUCAAUAGUGAAAGUCGGUAGUUCGUUCACUUAUAGAGGGAUCCGCGUCGCAUUAGCUGGUUGUUAGGGUAACAGCUUACCAAGGCGACGAUGCAUAGCCGGCCUGGGAGAAUGGUCAGACACACUGGGACUGAGACGCGGCACAGAAUCCUACGGGAGGCAGCAGUGGGGAAUAUUGGACAAUGGGCGAAAGCCUGAUGCAGCAAUGCCGGGUGAGUGAUGAAGGCCGUAGGGUUGUAAAGCUCUUUUACCCGGGAUGAUAAUGACAGUACCGGGAGAAUAAGCUCCGGCUAACUACGUG
rnacentral:rRNA from 1 species